UAUUUCACUCAAUUCACUCCCACUUAUUCUUUCUCUGCUUCUUCCAUAUUUUUCUCCUUUCUCACUGCCGACAACCCAAAACAACCAUGGUAUUUGCCGAUCUCAUCUCCCAUUCUUCGCGACAACAACGAAACUUACCUCAACCCUAAUUUUCAACCAGCCGUUCUCUCUGUCUCUCUCUCUCCUUCUUGCGCUCAACCCCUCUCCUCCUCCCUAACCCUAGCUCCCUUACCCUUUCGAUUGUAAAGCUUUCUCGAGUCCUCGCUUCUUCGUCUUAAAUUUCAGGUAGACGGGUCAUGUGCCUACUUCAACAACACCGAUACUAUUCUCACUUGGCCACCUGCUCGUAGCUCCCUUACCUUUUCGAUUGUAAAGCUUUCUCAGGUCAUUGCUUCUACGUCUUAAAUUUCAGGUAGACGGGCCAUGUGCCCACUCCAACAAUAUCGAUACUGUCCUCACUUGGCUACCUGCUCAAUUCGUCAGGUUUAGAGUUUUAAUACAAAAUGCCUCAAUGUUAGUUAGAAUGGAGUAAUUUUAUUUAAAGGGCUUAUUUUCAAGCCUUUUGGCUGAUGUGGGACAGAUGAAUUCUAAUACUCCCUCGUGAGAAGUCGAGGAUUUAGGGCUGUCUUCUUCCUGAGCUCUAGUUCAGUUCCUCAAAUUGAGAUAGAGAGCCUACCGAGUUGAAUGAUGUCACAUUCACAGACUUUUUCGGGUUUUGAUACCAUCUUAAAUUUCAGGUCGACUGGAGAUCCACGACCUCUCCUCAUUGACGUCUCAGACGUGGACGGUUCACUCGUCAGCUCGUUUGCCGGGGACAGCAUGUUUUCAAUUUCAGGUCCCUUUAUUGCCCUCAGCUCCGCACACGUCAGUGACCUCGCCCACCGAGCCCAAACUCGUAUGUAUUGUUGAUCUUUAUACCUCGACCUUGCCGACUCGCCCAAACUUGUAAUCUCUCCGCCACUUCUGGCUCUCGGAGUCUGCAGCUCAGUUUUCAAGGCCACCAAGUCUAUCUAUAUUCACGAAGUCCAUCUCUAUUUCCAGUGCCUAGUUUCCAAAGGCGAAGUUGAGCCAGGUAGAGAUAGCAAUUACUGAGGCUCAAGCAUUACGAGGAGCAUGUCACUCUUAAAAAACAUGUUUGCUGGAGGUGUUCAAGAAAAUGUGAAGUCUUUUAAGUGGCAAUUUCCUUCAAAUUUGGUGCCUGUUUCGUACUUUGACGGAUGGUUUCAUAUUUUUUAGUAUAGCUCAUUGGUUUUAGACCUGAUUUUUUUUAA